rnacentral:lncRNA from 1 species
UCCGACAGAAUCAGCUCCUAAGCCUAACUCUCACAGCUCUACCUGUUCCACUGUUCCCAUCCUUAAAUGGGAAUAUUCGUGUAAUGUGUAAAGGACUAAAUGUCAACUAAAAAAACACUAAAAAGUAUUUUCCCAUUGCAGUUUUUCUGAUAAUUACAACUAUUAAUAUUCUUCCAUUUCUACAGGAUGCCCAGCCCUUCCUGAGCCAAAUACUUCUGGAUAUUUAAUCAGACUCUAUCAAGUAGGUCCUAUUACUCUUCCAUUUCAAAGUAGAAAAGGUGAAAUACCAGCAAGAAAUAGACCCAGAUUUCCAAGUGCAUGCCACCCCCUUACCUACAAUCUUACUGGAGGGAAGCCUCUUACUAACUUAAAUAAAGCACAUAAAUUAUAUUUUUUCAAGGAAGGUUUUUCAUUGCAUGCUUAGGUCUACUGUAACAUGAAAAUAAGAUCCCAUAACUCGCCGGGCAUGGUGGCGCACGUCUUUAAUUCCAGCACUCGGGAGGCAGAGGCAGGCAAAACUAGCUUUUUUUAAACUUCACUAUUUCAG